GGUUAGAGGUUAAGCGAAAUCAAAGCCAACUUAGAACCUGGUAAAAAGGAUGUGGUGCCAAUGAUGGAAACAGGGAACUUGGGAAGAAACUGGUUUUUGAAGGAAGAUGACUGUAGCAGUCCCAGGUGUUACAUGGUUCAUACAACAUCAGCCCGGACAGAAAUCUCCCCAGAGGCUUCAUAGCAGGAGAAAACACUUCUUUCCCACAUCAGAUGUUUCUUGAAGUAUGGAGGGGGUGCCACUAACAUAACACUUGAUACUUUAUUCCAGCACUUCUAGCAAGUUUCCUGAUGUUCAGGGCGUUCUGACAACAAAACCUACACUUUAUCAGUGGCCCCAUGAGAUUCCACAAAAGAAGUGAAAUUAGUACUGAAGUGGUCUUAUGAAGAUGGGAGCAGGACUACCCCAACUGACUGCUGACUUCUUACCCAAGGGAGCUAACUAUAUCCCAAGGUAAUCUCAGUGGAUGGGGAAACGGAAGCACAGGGAUUUUGGAUGACUUCAACAAGGUCUACCCUGGCUAGAGGUGCUGCUGGGCUGUGGACCACACAGCACUACCCUACAGUCUUCAUGUGCAUCCAUAGAGCUGUACUGCCUCUGCGGCAACAAGAAAAAGGUCCAGAAGAACACACUGAAACCUGGCAGGACAAGUCCCCUCUAGGAUUGCGAGAACUUUUAUUUAUGAUGAUAACGUAUUCAUGUAUUAAAUGUGAUUGAAACUUGUAAAGUUAAAAUUGUCAAAGUCCUCAGUCAGAUUAUUAAUUUCCAUAAAUUUGUUGCUACUUGAAAAAAUUGUCAAUUAGACUCUUAAAGCUGGUAAAGAAUCUAGGGAUUAUGUUAAAGAGAUUAUCUUCUUGUUUUUCAGAUGAGGAAACUGAGGUUAUAUGACUUGCUUAAGCACAUAAAACUAGUUAGUGACAGAGCAGGUCUGCUGAUAUUGUAUGCUUUCUAUUGCAUUUUUGAGACAUAUCUUAUGUGGAGUAAUUUGUAGAUCUUAAGUGAAUAGUUUGAGAAUUUUAUCAAAUGUAUGUACUCAUGUAACCAGUUUCAGAACCAUAUAGAUGAUUUAGAUCCUGUGAUAAAAAUAAUUUCCAUUGCUCCUGAACAUUCCCUUGUACUAGGCAACUCUUUGAAAACUUUCCUUGUGUGUAUUAGUAAGAAUUCAAGUACUUAUAUUUUAUGUGUAUCCAUAUAUUUUACCUAUCUCAGCAAAGAUACAUCUUAUUGUGUAUGUGUGUAUACUUCCUUAAAGACAGAAAUAGGAUUUUCACAAAGUCCCAUGAGCUGCUUUUUAUCCUUUUGCAAACCAGUUCCUAAUUGAUGAAAUUGCUAAUUGAUGUUCCUUGUUUACAAUCAUUUGCUCCAGUUGGUUUAUAGCCUGACAUAAUUAUUAUUACAUACAAAAUAAUUCUUCAGUUGUUUGAUGUUCAAGCUCCCCAGACACACUUAGAGUCAAAGUACAUAUGUCUUUUUUUUUUUUUAACUAAGCUGUUUUAAAGUCUUGAGAAGAUU